AUGGAAUCCAGAGAGCUAUCGGUAGAGGAACAAGCGCUUAGGCGGCUGCUCAAGAAGAAACUACUCGGGUUGGCCUCACUUGAGAGGACGAUGGUGAGGCAAAGAUCAAGGAUCACGUGGCUCAAGGAAGGUGACGCAUGCACACAAUUUUUCCAUGCCCAAGCGAGUCAUAGGAGGAGGAGGUCCAUCACAUCGUUAAAUGUGGAGGGCACUCUGGUCUCGGAUCAUGAGGAUAAGGCAGAUGCGAUGGACGAGUUCUUCAACUUGUUGGGUUCCAGCCCGGAUAGGCGUGGAGAGGCCGUGGAGAUCAGAGACUACCGGCCGAUAGUUUCCCGGAGCUAG
rnacentral:rRNA from 1 species